AGGACAAUGAGACACAGCCCGAGGAAUCCCAACACACACACACACAUACACACACACACACACUGAGGCUCCACCCUAUUCUCUACACACUUGUGUACCUCACGUCAUGAUGAGAAAUCCGGCUCUUCAGCAUCAAAGGAUCUCCCUUCAUGCCCUCUCUGACCAGUACUCCUUCUCUUCUCUUCUCUUCUCUUCUCUUCAACUCUUUAAUAUUUUUCUUUUCUGUUCUUUUUUCUUGUCUUCUCUGUUUUAUUCCCCUCUUAUUUCUUCUCUUCUAAUCUCUUCUCUUCUUUGAUAUUUUUUCUUUUCUUUUCACUUUUCUUCUCUUUUUUAUUCUGCUCUUAUUUCUUCUCUUCUCUUUUUUCUCUUCUGCUGUUUAAGAUUAUUUCUUCUCUUCUCUUCUACUCUUUGAUAUUUUUUCUUUUCUGGUCUUUUUUUCCUCGUCUUCUCUGUUUUAUUCCACUCUUAUUUCUUCUUCUCUUCUGCUCUCUGAUUUUUUAAAUAUUCUUUUCUUUUCCCUUGUCUUCUCUUUUUUAUUCUGCUCUUAUUUCUUCUCUUCUUUUUUCUUUUCUUCUGCUUUUUGAGAUCAUUUCCUUUCUGUUCUUUUCUCUUGUCUUCUCUGUUUUAUUCCACUCUUAUUUCCUCUUCUCUUUGAGAUGUUUUCUUUUCUGUUCUUUUUUUUUCUCUUGUCUUCUCUUUUAUUCUGCCCUUAUUUUUUCUCUUCUUCUCUUUUCUUGUCUUCUGCUCUUUGAGAUUAUUUCUUUUCUAAUCUUUUCUUUUUUCUUCUCUUCUCUUUUUUAUUCCACUCUUAUUUCUUCUCUUCUCUUUUUUCUCUUCUUUUCGGCUUGUAUUGCUUCCUCUGCUCUAUCUUUUUUAUUAUUUUUUCUUCUGCUCUUAUUUUUCUCCUGUAUUUUUCUCUCCUUUAUUCUUCUCUUCUUAUCUCUUCUUUUCUAUUUAUCUUCUCUUUUUAUAUUUAUAUUUUUUGCUCUUCUCCCCUCAGUUAUGUUUUUAUAUUUACUUAUCAUUUUCAUUCAUUCUUCAUCCGCUCUGACAUUACACCGUUCAGCUCAGACUCAUCAAUCUGUAGGUAUCUAAUAACUGAACAGAUUCUGAAAGUGUUGCUGAGGAAAGCUAUGUACGGCCUCUCCCCAGACUGCAGGCUGUGAGGAAUUUUAUGACAGCAUUUGGUUGAAAAUCUUCGAACCUUUACUGUUUUCUCUGCUGCGGUGGAAGAAGAAGAAUGUUUCUACCGUAAAUACCAGCGUGUGUUAUCUGUGUGUGUUACAGAAGAAUGCUGUAAUCUUCCUUUGUCUCUGUGCCUGCAUCAUCAGGUCAUUUGGAGGAGGUGGGGUGGAGAGAGGAGGCUUAUCAAACUUAGCAAACAGUGUUAGAGAGAGAGAGAGAGAGAGAGAGACACACAGAGAGACAGAGAGAGAGUUUAAAGGGGAAAAAAUCCUAAGGACACUGCUUUAAGAGUGAAAAGGCCUUGGCUCUGGUGGUCCUGUCUCUGAGAUGCACUGUGAGGAGAGGAGGAGAGAGCAGGGAUGGACGAUAGUGGGGGUAGAGAUGUUGGGAAAGCCUGGACUUGACCCCUGAGUUGUGGGCUCCACCAAGUCUCCUCAGCGAGCCUCCCUGAUGACAGAUGGAUACACACACACACACACACACACACACACACAAAUUCAUGUAUACGCAAAAUAGCAAGCUUUGAUUUGUACAGAAAUAUGCAACAUCUUGAUGAAUUUCGUAUAAGGCGCCUGCAGGAAAAUUCAUUUCCUUUUUUUGGUGCCUUUUCCCCGACAAUUAAACCCACUGAAAUCCAGCCAAUAAUUUUCCCUUGAGCUUAAAGAGGUGGUAAGGCAACUCUUCAAAGCAGCUCUGCACUGGGCAAAGCACGGCCAACUACCAUAAACCACUGAAUUUAAUCCAGUAACAGAUCUAUCCUGAAACAGUACAGAAAUAACCACCACAGUUUUUAAUGUGGAAAUGUGUUGAUACACUGCAAACUUUGAUUUGUACCUUAAUGUACCUUGCUAAAUUAAAUGCAACUUGUAGAUGUGUAUACUCUUUCUGUUUCUGUUGGAGUAAAAGUACAAAAGAACUUGCAUGAGGAUAUGUUUGAGUACCAAAAUUAAAAGUAGUUUGAGUUCAUUUAAAAUGCUGUACUAUUUGCUGUAUCUAAAGCCACA